rnacentral:tRNA from 1 species
GCAGUUUAGUGGUAGAAUCCUUGCCUGCCAUGCAGGAGACCCGGGUUCAAAUCCUGGAUGCA